ACCACAACAAAAUUUUGGCAAUUUAUAACUGUAAUGGGGAAUUGGUAGAGAACCAAGCUAAUAUCUAGUAGGUUGUUGUUGAUUACUACCAGGAUCUCUUAGGUUCUUCCUUCGAUCACUAUCCUAGAUUUGCUGAGCUUGAAAAGUAUGUUAUUAAACAGAUUAUUUCUAUCCAAUCUUCUAAUAUGGUUCCCCUAUUUUGGAUGAUGAGAUUUUCUAUAUGCCUAAGUCUAUAAAGGUUAACAAGAGCCUGACCCGGAUGGCUUUAAUGUUAAUUUUUCCUCCAUUGUUGGGAUAUCAUUGGGGCUGAAUUUACCUCUGCAGUGCAUUAUUUUUUUGAUACGAGCCACCUUCCUUGUGGAAUUAAUGCUACUGCUAUUGCCUUGAUCCCAAAGUCUGAUAAUCAUUCAUAUAUAUCUGACUUUAGGCCAAUAUCUUAUUGCAACACUUUUUAUAAAUGCAUCUCUAAGAUUAUUGCUAAUAGACUUAAGAAGGUCCUUCCCUCUCUAAUUGACCAUGCCCAAUCUGCCUUCAUUUCUAGUAGAAGCAUCAGUGAUAAUAUUCUUCUUGCCCAAGAACUUUUCAGAAACUACCAUAGGAAUUUUGGUCUUGCUAGAUGUGCCUUAAAGAUUGACAUUAGGAAAGCUUUUGACACUGUCAACUAGAGUUUUAUCUUGGAUCUGUUGAGCUUUCUUAAGUUCCCUCCCACUUUCAUUAAUUGGAUUAAAGUUUGCAUUUCUACAGCUAUGUUUUUUUGUUAAAGUGAAUUGAGCUCUUGCAAGCUACUUCCAAAGGUCCAGAGGACUAAGGCAAAGGGAUCUUCUUUCCCCUUACCUGUUUGUGCUAGCUAUGGAAGCCCUCUCAAUUAUUUUGAACAAGGAUGCUCUUUUGCCUGUCUUUAAAUUCCACUAGCGAACCGAGCCUUGCAAACUCACUCAUCUUUGUUUUGCUGAUGAUUUGUUGAUCUUUUGCCAUGGUAGCCUGCCUUCAGUUACAAUCAUUCAUUCUUGUAUUUAGUCUUUCUCAUUGUUCUCUAGCUUAAUUCCAAAUGCUCAGAAGAGUCACUGUGUUUUAUAUAAUGUUAAAGACGAAUGGCAUAAUAGCAUUUGUUCUAUGGUGGGGUUUCAUAUUGGUGUUCUACCUAUCAGAUUUUUUGGGGUUCCCCUUAUCUCAUCUAAGCUUUCCCACAUGGAUUGCAUGCCUUUAAUUCAAUAAAUCACUGCUAGAGUGUCCUCCUAGACUGCAAGAUUUCUCUUUUACUCAGGUAGACUGCAGCUAAUCAAAUUUGUCCUAUUUGCUAUUCAGUCUUAUUGGUCAGCCCUUUUUUUUGCCCAAGUCUGUGAUGAGAUCAAUUUAGUUGAUUCUUUGUAGAUUUCUCUGGAAAGGCGCAUCUCUUCUCAAGUUUGAAGUCGAAGUCUCUUGGAAGGAUCUAUCCAUGCCAUAGUCUAAGGGGGGUCUAGCUAUCAAGAGUCUUAUUGACUGGAAUAUGGCUCUCAUCCUCCAGCACCUUAUCGAGGUUAUCUCUCAUUCCCCUUCUUCUCUUUGGGCUUCAUGGAUUCAAAGCUCUAUUCUUAAGUAGAGAAAUUUCUGGUAUAUUGAUUUUCACUCUGAUUGCUCUUGGAUUUGGCUUAAAAUCAUUAAAAUCAUUAACAUAUCACCAAAUAAUCAUAAAAUAAUUCAUUAAAUUUAUAGAAACAUAAAAAUUGAAUUUCUACAACUAUGUUUUCUGUUAAAGUGAAUGGAGCUCUUGCAAACAACUUCUGAAGGUUCAGAGGACUAAGGCAAGGGGAUCUUCUUUCCCCUUACCUGUUUGUGCUAGCUAUGGAAGCCCUCUCAAUUAUUUUGAACAAGGAUUCUCUUUUGCCUGGCUUUAAAUUCCACUAGAGAACCGAGCCUUGCAAACUCACUCAUCUUUGUUUUGUUGAUGAUUUAUUGAUCUUUUGCCAUGGUAGCCUGCCUUCAGUUACGAUCAUUCAUUCUUGUAUUUAGACUUUCUCAAUGUUCUCUAGCUUAAUUCCAAAUGCUCAGAAGAGUCACUGUGUUUUAUAUAAUGUUAAAGACGAAUGGCAUAAUAGCAUUUGUUCUAUGGUGGGGUUUCAUAUUGGUGUUCUACCUAUCAAAUUUUUUGGGGUUCCCCUUAUUUCAUCUAAGCUUUCCCACAUGGAUUGCAUGCCUUUCAUUCAACAAAUCACUGCUAGAGUGUCCUCCUAGACUGCAAGAUUUCUCUUUUACUCAGGUAGACUGCAUCUAAUCAAAUUUGUCCUGUUUGCCAUUCAGUCUUAUUGGUCAGCCCUUUCUUUUGCCCAAGUCUGUGAUGAGAUCAAUUCAGUCGAUUCAUUAUAGAUUUCUCUGGAAAGGCGCAUCUCUUCUCAAGUUUGAAGUCGAAGUCUCUUGGAAGGAUCUAUCCAUGCCAUAGUCUGAGGGGGGUCUAGCUAUCAAGAGUCUUAUUGACUGGAAUAUGGCUCUCAUCCUCCAGCACCUUAUCAAGGUUAUCUCUCAUUCCCCUUCUUCUCUUUGGGCUUCAUGGAUUCAAAGCUCUAUUCUUAAGUAGAGAAAUUUCUGGUAUAUUGAUAUUCACUUUGAUUGCUCUUGGAUUUGGCUUAAAAUCAUUAACAUAUCACCAAAUAAUCAUAAAAUAAUUCAUUAAAUUGAUAGAAACAUAAAAAUUGAAUUUCUACAACUAUGUUUUCUGUUAAAGUGAAUGGAGCUCUUGCAAGCUACUUCCGAAGGUCCAGAAGACUAAGGCAAGGUGAUCUUCUUUCCCCUUACCUGUUUGUGCUAGCUAUGGAAGCCAUCUCAAUUAUUUUGAACAAGGAUUCUCUUUUACCUGGCUUUAAAUUCCACUAGCGAACCGAGCCUUGCAAACUCACUCAUCUUUGUUUUACUGAUGAUUUAUUGAUCUUUUGCCAUUGUAUCCUGCCUUCAGUUACGAUCAUUCAUUCUUGUCUUUAGUCUUUCUCAAUGUUCUCUAGCUUAAUUCCAAAUGCACAGAAGAGUCAUUGUUUUUUAUAUAACGUUAAAGAAAAAUGGCAGAAUAGCAUUUGUUCUAUGAUGGGGUUUCAUAUUGGUGUUCUACCUAUCAGAUUUCUUGGGGUUCCCCUUAUCUCAUCUAAGCUUUCCCACAUGGAUUGCAUGCCUUUAAUUCAACAAAUCACUGGUAGAGUGUCCUCCUGGACUGCAAGAUUUCUCUUUUACUCAGGCAGACUACAACUAAUCAAAUUUGUCCUGUUUGCCAUUCAGUCUUACUAGUUAGCCCAUUUUAUUUUGCCCAAGUCUGUGAUGAGAUCAAUUCAGUCGAUUCUUUGUAGAUUUCUCUGGAAAGGCGCAUCUCUUCUUAAGUUUGAAGUCAAAGUCUCUUGGAAGGAUCUAUCCAUGCCAUAGUCUGAGAGGGGUCUAGCUAUCAAGAGUCUUAUUGACUGCUGGAAUAUGGCUCUCAUCCUCCAGCACCUUAUCAAGGUUAUCUCUCCUUCCCCUUCCUCUCUUUGGGCUUCAUGGAUUCAAAGCUCUAUUCUUAAGCAGAGAAAUUUCUGGCAUAUUGAUAUUCACUCUGAUUGCUCUUGGAUUUGGCUUAAAAUCAUUAAACUUAGGCCUACUGCUUUGAAAUUCUUUAGUUAUAGAUUUGGUAAUGGUAACAUCUUUAGUUUGUGGUUUGACCCGUGGCUGAAUGGCCAGGCCUUAUCUUCUUAUAAGUCUAUUAUCUCUAACUCUAGGAUUCCUAUCUCUGCUAGAGUCUCUUGCAUCAUUUCUCAAGGUUCUUGGUCGUCUCUGCCUCUUAGAAACCAUCGUAACCAUCAUGAGGUGAUGCAGUUUUGAAAUUUAUUAAAUGAAGUUCAUGUGUCUUCUGCUGCUGAGGACCUCAUAUUCUGGAACGGUAUUGUCAUUAGUUCCCUGAAGGCAAAUAACAUCUGGGAAUCUAUUCGUCUGAGAAGUCAGAAUAUACCUUGGGCUAAGUUUCUAUGGCGCAAGCUUCAUAUGUCCCAGUUCUCUUUUACGUUGUGGCUAGCCUUGCGUAGGAGACUGCCUACAAAUGAUUUAUUUUGUUCCUUAUCUAAUUUCCAGCGCUAAUUGGCCUACCCCCUUUGUAACUUGACUGCGGAAACUUUCCCUCAUCUUUUUUUGUCCUUAUCUAAUUUCUGUUAUGGAUGUUGGGAAUUGGCCUCAUGUCCCAUUUGUCUGGGACAAUGUGGUGGAGUAUAUUCUUCAAUUUAAGGGGAGGUUUAUGCAAUCUGAGAUCCCGAAGUUGGUUUUUGCUACUUCGGUGUACAAAAUUUGUGGAGCUAGGAACUUAAUGGUGCAUGACAAAAUCAAACUGCCCCCUCGUUCUAGAAAAUGAAAUUGUGAAGUUGAUCAAAGCUCGGCUCUCCACUUCUCUGUAUUUCCAAAAGGCAGAUUAGAAUUGUAGUAGCUCUAUUAAUUGAAUGUCGUUCUUUUUGUUUUUGUCUCUUCUUUGAAGAAAGAAAGAAAAUUUAAGGAAGAGAGAAAUUUCAAAGAAAGCUAGAAGAAUGAAAGAAUAUGAAUAGACUGGAAUGAAUAUGUAGUGUUCCAUGUAUGCUUGCAAGUGUUAUGGAAAUAAAUAAUCUGUUCCUAACAUUAGAAUGAUUUAAUUUGGUUUCCAAGAUAAGAUAAGAUUUGAUUUGAUAAAAUAUGAUUGGAUUUGAUAAGAUAUUAAUUAUUUUAUUUGGUAAUAUUUAAUUUCAUAUUUGAUUUGAUUCACCUUGAUUUAUUUUCAAGAAAAUUAAGGAAACAAGGAGAUUGAGCAAGAUUUGAAACAUUUGCUGGAGAUUACACAAGACAUC
rnacentral:lncRNA from 1 species